UGGGGAAUAUUGCACAAUGGGCGCAAGCCUGAUGCAGCCAUGCCGCGUGUAUGAAGAAGGCCUUCGGGUUGUAAAGUACUUUCAGCGGGGAGGAAGGGAGUAAAGUUAAUACCUUUGCUCAUUGACGUUACCCGCAGAAGAAGCACCGGCUAACUCCGUGCCAGCAGCCGCGGUAAUACGGAGGGUGCAAGCGUUAAUCGGAAUUACUGGGCGUAAAGCGCACGCAGGCGGUUUGUUAAGUCGGAUGUGAAAUCCCCGGGCUCAACCUGGGAACUGCAUUCGAAACUGGCAAGCUUGAGUCUCGUAGAGGGGGGUAGAAUUCCAGGUGUAGCGGUGAAAUGCGUAGAGAUCUGGAGGAAUACCGGUGGCGAAGGCGGCCCCCUGGACGAAGACUGACGCUCAGGUGCGAAAGCGUGGGGAGCAAACAGG
rnacentral:rRNA from 1 species